rnacentral:misc_RNA from 1 species
AAGUCGUAACAAGGUUUCCGUAGGUGAACCUGCGGAAGGAUCAUUAACACGUAUCCAAACGUUAAAACCCCCCCCGUGAACAUUGAUUCCUGCUCUUGUAACCCGCGAAGCUUGCAAUCUCUGGUAAAUCAUAGCCCGGAAAGUAGUUUUGAUUCAGAGACCUCUGGCCCGUGCGAAAUCACAACAGUUACAAUUCGAGCGGUAGUUCUAUAGGCCUUGUUUCCCCAAGCAGUCAGUGUCUGAAAGUGUCAGUGAUUGUGCAAGGAUAACGCUUCACGAUUCUUGUAGACCGCAUCUCGCGGGCAGGAGCUAGGCUUACAACCCCACAGUUAAAUGUGAAGCUCAAUGUAAUACAUUGGGUAAAAAACCGAACAACUGUUAACAAUGGAUAUCUUGGUUCUC